AACUAACAAGGAUUCCCCUAGUAGCGGCGAGCGAAGCGGGAAGAGCUCAAAUUUAUAAUCUGGCACCUUCGGUGUCCGAGUUGUAAUCUCUAGAAGUGUUUUCCGCGUUGGACCGCACACAAGUCUGUUGGAAUACAGCGGCAUAGUGGUGAAACCCCCGUAUAUGGUGCGGACGCCCAGCGCUUUGUGAUACACUUUCAAUGAGUCGAGUUGUUUGGGAAUGCAGCUCAAAUUGGGUGGUAAAUUCCAUCUAAAGCUAAAUAUUGGCGAGAGACCGAUAGCGAACAAGUACCGUGAGGGAAAGAUGAAAAGCACUUUGGAAAGAGAGUUAACAGUACGUGAAAUUGUUGGAAGGGAAACGCUUGAAGUCAGACUUGCUUGCCGGAGCUUGCUUCGGUUUGCAGGCCAGCAUCAGUUUUCCGGGGUGGAUAAUGACGGUUUGAAGGUAGCAGUCUCGGCUGUGUUAUAGCUUUCCGUUGGAUACGCCCUGGGGGACUGAGGAACGCAGCGUGCUUUUUGCGAAAGACUCGUCUUUUUCACGCUUAGGAUGCUGGUGGAAUGGCUUAAAC
rnacentral:rRNA from 1 species